ensembl:lncRNA
UUUAGAGCCGUGACGUUGAAGAAAUCCCCGCCGUAACGUGUCCCGGACCGCCCACAUUCUAUAAAAGGCAGAGAUCGGCUCCUUACUAUUAUUAUCUCUAUCAACAACAAGCUAUACUGUACUCACUUCUGAUUUAGCUUACUGCUGUCUAGGAGUCACACUGAGCUAUAGCAUACUCACAGCUAUACGAACAACUAUACAGCUAUAAUAGAAGCAAGCCGCAAAACGCAGCCAUGAAGCUCGAAUCAAGAAAAUCCUCACUGAAAAGAACUGAGAGCCAGAAAGAGACCGUACCAAACAAAGAUCAGAAAGCCAUCAUGGAAUGUGCGCAACAUCUGCGUAAAAUCGGAGACCUGUUCAACCUGAAAUACAUCCUGGCGGAUAUGCGGGCUAAAAUCUCAACGGAUCCGAAAAUCAAGUGAAAUGGAUACAGUAGCUGACUUUGAUAGUAAAAUGGAUCGAAAUUGGAUCAUUAUGCCUUAACGGGAAAUGUGUUGCGGUCGUUGCAAUGUGAAAACUUUGAUACAAUAACGCAAAGCCUAUAUGGACCUCACACGCCCAUGCCCGGAGCUAGGCUACUCUCGGACCGGAGUAUCUUUCUGGACGCUCCUUCAACAGAGACUGCCUUCUACGUCCCGGGACGCUGGUGGGUUAUUGUUCAUAGUCUAAGAGAUAUAUACCACCGCCCUAUUGGAUUAUUUAGGCCGGGGAAAUGAAAACGGGCCGGGAAGCCGAAACAGAACAUUUGGAGUAAAGAGAAGACAGGAUAGCAAACCAACAUGUAGCCUAAAAUAGAGACUAAAAUAGAGACUAAAAUAGUAUCUAUUUGUUAUUAAACGUUUGAUUCUAAUCAUCAGGGUAUUUUAUGCUGUCUGUUUUAAAUUUGUUUGGUGAUUGAUUCAUGCUUAUCUGUUUGAAAAUAAUUUUAUGCUGUCUGUUUUAAGUUUGUUUGGUGAUUUAAGAUUGACUUAUUUGUUUGAAUAUAAUGUCAAUAAAUGUUUUGAUUUCUUCUAUCGUCAUCAACGGAUGUUGUUCUUCUUUCCAUAGUAGGCCUCUAUAUCAUAAAAUACCUGGGUACUUCUGUUGACAGACAGUGACAUUCAAUACCUCCUUGCACACUCUUGCCUGCAUCUAGCUGGGUGUAAUCAUUAGUCCAAUAGUUGCAAACCAGAAUUUCUAUUGGACAAAUUAAACUACGGUUAUCCCUGUUUUGUUCUGUUUUGCUUCCGUUUAAGAAACGUUUUAACAGAAUCAGCGGAAUGAAUACACCCCUGAUAACAGGUAAACACAGUUCACUCUCAUAACAGCCACGUUGUAUUCCUUCUCUU